rnacentral:rRNA from 1 species
AUGAGCGACGACCCAGGGGUCGGCGAGUGGCAACAGAUGCGGGACACCAACUGGUGGCGCAACGGACAGCGAGAGGCGGGACACCAACUGGGCGCGCCUCUCGCGGCCGACUUCCACGGCGGCGACGUUGUUUACCUUGGCGCCUGCUUCUUUCCGACUCAGCGAUCCCCGCGGGCACCGAUGGACGGCGACGGGCAGCACGUGCGGCCGCGGAGCCGCGCGCUCCUGACCGACGACGAGGAUGACGGGACGUACGCCAGCGACGUGUACAGCGGCAACCUCGCCACGGGCGGGUCUCGUGCUGGCGGCAUCUUGGGCGGUAGCAGUACUUGGUGCAGCGCCGCCACGGCGACUACGGCAGCGUCGGGGUCAUCGUCGUCCUCAUCCGCACAGGGAAGCUGGACUGGGAGGUUUACUGCUUCCGGUCGGCAGACGAUGGAUAUGACGCUAUGCCCAGCACGAGUGCUAACGCCAUCACGGCCGGCACCACUGGCACCAGCAGCCGUUCGGUGUGCUCUCCGGCAUGCUGCAGUCGAAGGGUCGAGCAGGAGCUAUGGAUGCCAGCAAACAAGCCUGUGCAGACGGCAAUGCAUCAAUCAAAUCGGAUGGAGAACAUCACACAACAGCCUUUCUCCAGGACAUAAAGAAAAUGGUGGCACUUUGGGUUUUGAAGACGCCGCCUCGCGUAGGACUACGAACAUGGGACGCUCAGUCGAGUUUUUCUUAACUCGUCAGGAUUCUCAUGCUGCAAAUUUAGUAACGGGGCAAAUUUUUUGGUGUCCUGUUGUGUUUGCGGAUUGA